GUUCCCUCUUCUGAGAAGAAUCAGAAGAACUGUCCGUAGCUGGUGUAAAAACGUCAUCAUCGUCAAGCUCAGCUCCGUUAUGAGUAGUGGAAGAUGAUGUAGUUGAACCUUCCCUAAGGUCUUUGAUGGCUUUCCUCACUCGCCUGUCAAAGGCGCUCGCAUCAGCAGGGCUUUGGAAAGUAGUCGAUUACUCCAGCGCUAAUGCAGAUCCAAGUGCUAUUUUGGUGUCCAUUGCCUCGCUGAUGAGUGACCAGACCCAAAAGUCUUUCCUUUUACAAUGAAGGGCACAGCCGUCCUUUGCUGCUGCAGCUCUCUAACUGCACACAGAACCACUGCUGCUCUACAGGGUUCAAAGACAAAAGAAGCCUCUCUCCCCAGUAUUCUCUGAUGAAAGCUCCAGGCCAGAGCAGACCUGGGUUUCCAUCAUCACAUCUUCAGUGCUGCAGACCUUCAGCUCAUCCAGACCCAUCAUUUUCCUAGUCAUGGCUUGUGAGUACUUACUCUGAGUCAGGAGUCAGCCAGGGUCAGGCGACAGAAUAGCAAGAGCUGGUGAUCACACACAAUCAUCUAGACCUGCCAAAGGCACAUAGCUAGUACAGCCAUCCUUGCCUCUCCCAAUCUUUUCCACCUAGGUCCAGGUUUUGUCCAAAUGCCCCUUUUGUCUUUUCCCAACAACUAAUUUGGGUUGAAGACAUUUAUGUUUAUUCAACAAGAUGCAAUAACUUCUAACUCAACUGUUCAACAUCAAUAUCAGUAUAAAUCGUACUAUUUACCUAUCUUUCC
rnacentral:lncRNA from 1 species